AGACCAGGAGCUCUCCACCCUAUCAGGAUUUAAGCAGAAAUUAAGCCAGUCCAGUUAAUUAAUCCCCAGAUAAUCCAGCCAGGUGAAUUCACCUGGAAUACCCACGGUAAUGAAGCACUUAAAAACAAUUAAAGUGAAGAACACAUUCCCAGGAGCACAGACAAUUUCUACAGUGGAUUUUUUUGGAGAUGUCACAACAAGAACUGCUCAGAGGAGGCAGGUACAAAGAUCAGAGGUGAAGCCAGAGAGAAUCUUAUCAGGCUUCAAGGAGUAAAAGUGACCUCAGUGUCCUUAUCUCAGAGUGAUUUCUGUCCUCACACCCCUGGCAUUCCCCUAAGGACACUGAACAGCCAGAGAAACAAUAACAGCUGGAAUUCCUCUGCCUGUUCUUUACUGCAGUCCCAGCAAGCAGAAGCUCCCAGAGUGGCACCUUCUG